GCGCAAGACCACGGUGGCAGUCACAUCUGUGGUCCAAGCCUUUAGCUCCUGUGCAUGAAAUCCCUGCAUCCCUGGGGCUAUCCACUGGGCAGUAAAGUUCACCAACACUUCUCUUUGUAUCAUAUCAGGUCAUAGUAGAUGUUCAGGAAAGCAUACCCAUAGUAACUCACUGCUAUUUACAUUUUCUCUUGGCUUUAAAAAUAUUUUUAUUUUAUUUUUUUUGCCGACGUGUGCGUAUGUACAGGUAUGCAAGUGCCUACAGAGGCCAGAAGAGAGUGUCAGGUCCCUUGAGGCUAGAUUUACAGGCUCUACGUGGGCGCUAGGUACUGAUCUCUGGUCAUCUGGAAGAACGGCAAGUGCUCAGCCAUGGAGCCAUCUCUCCAGACGCAUACACAUUUCCCUUUAAGAUCAGUCGCCUGUCCCUGGCAGAUGCAUGCCUUCUUUCAUGAAAGCCUACACAUACCAGCUUUUACAGACAAGGCAUUCAAUGGAAGCCAUUGAAUACCAGAGAUCACAGCACAAAGUGGUUCAAUAGCAAGGGCAAGUGCCAAGGGCUAUGGGGCAAAGAGAAGGCACUGUCACCAGCCCACAGGCAGGGUGGAAGGCUUUCUGAAAGAGACAGAGAGCAAGACUCCGCUUCUGGCUGAAUCAUGUAUUAUUUGGAAUCAUAUACAUAAUGAGGACUAAUGAGGAGGUUCCCCCUUGGCACCUGUCCCCAGGCUCCCUGAUAUGGAGACAGUACCUCUUCAAAUCCUAUGGCGAUUACACAAUUUCUUGACUUGCUGCCUCAUCCAGCUAAGAUUAGAGAAGCCCAUCUCCCUAGGACGCAACCCAAACCUGGCACUUGGGAGCUGCUCAGAGGUUCCCAUAGGAGAGGGUAGUCAACGGGACCAAUUGUUUUAAUGAAUGCCCAAAACCUGUCCAGUCCUCAGCAGACUGCAGGGACUCUGAGCAGGCUAAGCAAAGAUCUGGUUUGGAGACCUCCAACCCACUCCCCACUCCCACCUGCCCAUCAGUCCCUACUUAAGUAGGAACUGCAUCAACUUCCAGGAGGGAUGUCCCUGUCACAGAAGCAGGAGAUGGGCUUAAACCUCGUGAUGGCUAUGUCACUUAUCUGGUUAUUUGCCACAGCAGAGCAGCCCUAAGCUGGUGUAGUGGUUUGAAUAGGUUUGGUCCCCAUGGACUCAACACUUGGCUCAUAGGGAGCGACAAGUUGGUUUUUGUUUUUUUUUUUUGUUUGUUUGUUUGUUUGUUUUUUGGUUUUUUUUUUUUUUUUUGGUUUUUUCGAGACAGGAUUUCUCUGUAUAGCCCUGACUGUCCUGGAACUCACUUUGUAGACCAGGCUGGCCUUGAACUCAGAAAUCCGCCUGCCUCUGCCUCCUAGGGAGUGACAAGUAUUAGGAGGUGUGUACUUGUUGGAGGAAGAGUGUCACUGUGGGGGCAGACUUUGAGGGCCUAGCUCCACCCAGUGCAGAAGGGACCCUCCUGCUGGCUGCAAGAAGAUGGUCUCCUUUUGGAUGCCUGUAGCUCAAGAUGCAGAACUCUCAGCUCCUCCUGCACCAUGCCUGCCUGGAUGCCGCCACGCUUCCCACCAUGAUGAUAAUGGACGGAACCUCUGAAACUGUCAGCCAGCCCCAAAUAAAGGUUUUCCUUUGUAAGAGUUGCCUUGGUCAUGGCGUCUCUUCACAGCAAUAGAACCCCGACUAAGACAGCUGAGGGUCUCACACCCACUCUCAGGAGCAGAAUCGGAGCUAGCCAAGGAAGCCACAUCCCUCAAGAUUUACUCCCAAGUGAAGUCUAAAGAGAAGCUCCAGUUGGCACCACCAAGUCCCCCAGGGAGGCAGAAGGCAUUCUUCCCCUCGUCUCUGGGGACGGUGGCAGGUGCAGUUGUCUGGGGCUGACAACCAAAGCCAACGAGACAGGAUACCCUCCCCCCAGAAAGGAAAUGCCCCUGCUCACUGGGACCCCAGGCAGCUCUCUGGAAUCCUCCCCAGGGAAAUGGGACAGCAGGACCUGUGCAGAAUAUAAGGAAAACUAAAUGGAAAGGAUUCACUAGUGCAGUGUGUGUGUGUACGAGUGCGUGCGCAUGUGCACACACAUAGACUUCUAGACCUCCCAGCUGACCUGGCCACAUCUCUUCGCUGCCUGCCGACUUCAGAACAAGAAAAUACAAUGUUCAAGGCACCUGAAAAUGAUAGCCACUGCUUUGGUUCUGGAGGCUUAAAAAACGCAUGUUGGCCCUGAGAGGAAUUCUGAACAUCACUCAAAAUUAACUUGGGUUCCCUACUUUGACCAAACUACUGAUUUGGAGAAUUCUGCUCAGGACUGAACUUUAACCUCUGAUAAACAAACCCAGCUGUUUCCUAACCGUACCCUAACCCAACCAGGCAGUCAACCUCACGCCAGGAGGUCAGUGUUGAGCUGUAGGCUAAGGACCUGGCGGUUUCUACUGCAUAAGAUGGACAGCGGCCGCCCUUCGGAUCAGCCGCUCCGUCAGGGGUGAGUUGGGUUUCAAGGCGUCACGCUCCAUCAGAAGGCUCCUGUGGAAACACACAGAGUUUUUGUUAUAGAACCUUCUAGAAGGACGUGCGAAUAUGACUGGCCGGGGCAAGAUGGGUCCAGCCAUCUGGGCAGUACUCUGAUUUUCCAUGAGAGAUAAACACUAGAGCUGAGGACUCCAGUGUAGGUCUAUCACGGUGGCGUUGUCUGUCUUAGGGAAAGCCAUGGCUCAAGACCUCAUAGCUCAUGCUUCUGUCACCAUCUAAGGCUAAUUAUGAGAGGGACCAGGAAGCCACAUGUGAGACUGGUCCAGGAAAAGCAAAUGAAAGAGUUGGGGUGGGGAGCCUUAACUAAAGCAAGACCAGGACCCAUCAGGAGGUAAAGCCCCUACUGUGGCUGGAUGCUGGGGCCUCCUUGAUUAGCCCAUAUGAGUCUUGUGUCUGAACCACAUGUCACCUGUGUUUGCUUUGUUUUGGUCACACACCAAGGAGAUUAAGAGAGACACAGAUGGUGGCUCUGAGGGCAGUAAGUGUUGUUAAGGGGCUGGGGCUUAGGACUCGGGGGACCACACCCCAGCCAAUAUAGACUGUAUCAGUUCACUU
rnacentral:lncRNA from 1 species